CGGGUGAGUAACACGUAUCCAACCUGCCGUCUACUCUUGGACAGCCUUCUGAAAGGAAGAUUAAUACAAGAUGGCAUCAUGAGUUCACAUGUUCACAUGAUUAAAGGUAUUCCGGUAGACGAUGGGGAUGCGUUCCAUUAGCUAGUUGGCGGGGUAACGGCUCACCAAGGCGACGAUACAUAGGGGGACUGAGAGGUUAACCCCCCACACUGGUACUGAGACACGGCCAG
rnacentral:rRNA from 1 species